rnacentral:rRNA from 1 species
AUUGAACGCUGGCGGCAGGCCUAACACAUGCAAGUCGAACGAGUGGCGGACGUGUGAGUCAUGUCUGGGAAACUGCCCGCUGGAGGGGGAUAACUACUGGAAACGGUAGCUAAUACCGCCUACCAUAGGAUGUUCCCAGAUGGGAUUAGCUAGUAGGUGGGGUAACGGCUCACCUAGGCGACGAUCCCUAGCUGGUCUGAGGGGAUGACCAGCCAACCUGGAACUGAGAGACGGUCGAGACACCUACGGGAGGCAGCAGUGGGGAAUAUUGCACAAUGGGCGCAAGCCUGAUGCAGCCAUGCCGCGGGUAUGAAGAAGGCCUUCGGGUUGUAAAGUACUUUCAGCGGGGAGGCGUUACCCGCAGAAGAAGCACCGGCUAACUCCGUGCCAGCAGCCGCGGUAAUUC